CGUCCCUUAGCACACUGUGCUGGAAGAUAGGCUUAGAAUCAGAAGAGAUCAUUUCCAGGUAUCCCAAGAUUAGCUCCAAUUAACAGCAGUGAUCUUCUUCCACGUCAGUGAGGGAUCUUCCUCUGUGGGGUGCAAAGAUUAAGGCAGGAUCUCUCUGGUAGAGGCGAGCCUUAAACCACUGGCAUGCGCCACCACUCCUGGCUCUAGAGAGGGUGUCUCCACUUCAGUUACCUGCACAGAAGGCAGAGCGCUGCGAUGGUGAGGGUGACGAGGACCGCCAGGGCCACGAAUGCUGCCGACAGGUUACUUCUGCUUUGGACGCUGGCGCUUGGGAGAAAAACCUCUUCGCAACGAGCUCCUGUGUAAUUCUCAAUGCACCUAUGGGAUAGAAGUUCAGAUAAAGAUCAAACCUGUUCCCUGCACGUAUGUGGACAACACAGAGAGUUCCCAGCCGGAAUGAAGGGAAAGGCCUCUACAUUUCAGUCUGUGAAUAUGGAGCAGAUAGGCUUGAAAUGACGCUCAAAGAGCCGCGGGUAGAGACAAAUGCAUUAUCAUACACCUGCCUCCGUCUCUUUCCAGCUCGUCAGCAGCUUAGAAUCGAGAGGAACUAGGUAGUAUUCAGACUCCAUGUGCAAACAGCGUCGAUGCCUUCUAGGCUUGUCUUGUCUUCCUGCCAACUUUUGCAGAUGUGUCGUCUUUUGAUACUGUUCUAGUUGUCCUCAACCCCCUGACUCAAAUGAUCCUCCUGCCUCAGCUUUCCCAGUAGCUGGUGCAUACCACCAUAGCUUAAAGUCUGCAUUUUCAAUGGUGUAACUGUGAGUAUAUAACUCAAAUUCAUCUGCAAUUUAUUGUAUUUUACAUAGACAUAAAUGAAUGCAACUCUUCCUCAAAAUUCUUGUUUCUUCCAAACUCAGAGUUGUUGAGUAUGACAUCCCUUCCCUACUGCUCAGCAGUGCCUUCUGGAACACACGUCAGCUUUAUAUGACUAAGAGCAUUUCUAUUUUUCUUCAGAGACAGCACAAAACAGCAAGGGAUACCACAAGGCAGCCAGCUCCUUUCCCCUCUUAACACACUCAAGGGAUUAAUAUACAUUAAUAAGAAUUAUGCU